UCGAAACGGNUAGCNAGCGAUACCUAAUAGCUGCGCGCACGAGGUUGNAGUAACACGCUUUUUUNACCUCCCCCCAAGNGCGGGAUAACGGCNUCNNAAGCANCUGCUAAUACCGCAUAANCUCACGAGCUAUANAGGCUUGUGAGAAAAGGANCAAUUCACUUGNGGACGGGGCUGCGGCCCAUCNGCUAUGUUGGCGAGGUAAAGGCUCACCAAGGCGACGACGGGUAGGGGACCUGAGAGGGUGACCCCCCACACUGGGACUGAGACACGGCCCAGACUCCUACGGNAGGCAGCAGUGAGGAAUAUUGNACAAUGGGCGCAAGCCUGAUGCAUCNACGCCGCGUGAGUGAAGAAGGNCUUCGGGUCGUAAAGCUCUUUUCUGCNUGACGAGCAAGGACGGUANCGCANGAAUAAGUCUCGNCUAACUACGUGCCAGCANCCNCGGUAAAACGUAGGANACAAACGUUAUCCGGAGUUACUGGGCGUAAAGGGCGUGUANGCGGUUUGUUAAGUCUGGCGUGAAAGCUCUCGGCUAANCCNGGAGAGGUCGUUGGAUACUGGCAGACUACAGGACNGUAGANGCGUGUGGAAUUCCGGGUGUAGUGGUGAAAUGCGUAGAGAUCCGGAGGAACACCAGUGGCGAANGCGACUCGCUGGAGCCGUACCUGACGCUAAAGCGCGACAGCAUGGGGAGCNAACGGNAUUAGGAACCCCGGUAGUCCAUGCCGUUAAACUAUGUCAGCUAGGUGNUUCCANGACUCCCAAGAUGCUUGGGCUAC
rnacentral:rRNA from 1 species